GACGAACGCUGGCGGCGUGCCUAAUACAUGCAAGUCGAGCGCAGGAAAUCGACGGAACCCUUCGGGGGGAAGUCGACGGAAUGAGCGGCGGACGGGUGAGUAACACGUAAAGAACCUGCCCUCAGGUCUGGGAUAACCACGAGAAAUCGGGGCUAAUACCGGAUGGGUCAUCGGACCGCAUGGUCCGAGGAUGAAAGGCGCUUCGGCGUCGCCUGGGGAUGGCUUUGCGGUGCAUUAGCUAGUUGGUGGGGUAAUGGCCCACCAAGGCGACGAUGCAUAGCCGACCUGAGAGGGUGAUCGGCCAAACUGGGACUGAGACACGGCCCAGACUCCUACGGGGGGCAGCAGUAGGGAAUCUUCCACAAUGGACGAAAGUCUGAUGGAGCAACGCCGCGUGAACGAUGAAGGCCUUCGGGUCGUAAAGUUCUGUUGUAAGGGAAGAACAAGUGCCGCAGGCAAUGGCGGCACCUUGACGGUACCUUGCGAGAAAGCCACGGCUAACUACGUGCCAGCAGCCGCCGUAAUAC
rnacentral:rRNA from 1 species